AUUGAACGCUGGCGGCAUGCCUUACACAUGCAAGUCGAACGGUAACGCGGGGCAACCUGGCGACGAGUGGCGAACGGGUGAGUAAUGCAUCGGAACGUGCCUAGUAGUGGGGGAUAGCCCGGCGAAAGCCGGAUUAAUACCGCAUACGACCUCAGGGUGAAAGCGGGGGAUCGCAAGACCUCGCGCUAUUGGAGCGGCCGAUGUCAGAUUAGGUAGUUGGUGAGGUAAAGGCCCACCAAGCCUUCGAUCUGUAGCUGGUCUGAGAGGACGGCCAGCCACACUGGGACUGAGACACGGCCCAGACUCCUACGGGAGGCAGCAGUGGGGAAAGUUGGACAAUGGGCGCAAGCCUGAUCCAGCCAUGCCGCGUGCGGGAAGAAGGCCUUCGGGUUGUAAACCGCUUGUGUCAGGGAAGAAAAGCUCUGGGCUAAUACCUCAGGGUAAUGACGGUACCUGAAGAAUAAGCACCGGCUAACUACGUGCCAGCAGCCGCCGCGGUAA
rnacentral:rRNA from 1 species